CUGAUGCGGCUGUCCGCCGGCUCCGACGGCGCGCUCAGCCUCGUGCUGCCGCAGCACGGCCUGCACCUGCGCUUCCGCAACGCCACGCUCCUCGUCACGGCGAGCAUGGGCACUCGUGGUCGACUGUGCGGCAUCUGUGGCAACAACGACGGCGAGUACGUGGGAGAUCUGACCAACCCGCGCGGCAACCAGGAGAAGACGGCCACCAGCUUCGCUGCGUCCUACAAGCUGUAGUCUGAGCCUGACCUCUUAGCAUUUCCUCUUUUGUACACUUUAUUCACGAUUUACUGUAUCACUUACAUCCACUGAAUUUAAAGAACAGUGAGUAAUAAAAUGACAAUAAAAGAUUAA